AUAAAAAUCCAUACAUUCAUUCAAACAUUAUUAAUCCAAUAUUACAUUCAAACAAAUUUCAUCCAACAUCACAAAUUUCAUCGAACAUUUGAAUCUUCAUUCAAACAUUAUUAAUCCAAUAUUACAUUCAAACAAAUUUAAUCCAACAUCACAAAUUUCAUCCAACAUUUGAACUUAUUAUUCAUCAAACUAGAAUAUGGUGAAGAACGUCCCUCUAACGCAGGAGAUCAACGAGAACAUAUCCAAGGACACCUUCAUGUAUUCCGGUCUCUCCUCCGAUUGCUCCACCAUCCGCGACUCGAUCACUUCUAGUAGCCGCUGCAUUAACAAGAACAGCUUUGUAAGCUUGGUAUUAAAAAAAUGCAGCAGAAAAUAAGAAAAAGGAAUUGAAGAAAAGAGAACACUCUAUCAAGCAUUCUGUCGAACAUCUAGCGGCAAACUACACAAGCGAUUUCUCAAAGCUAUAAAGAAGAUGAAUCGCCAAGAAUAUAACACCAAAAGCUACCAGCAGAAGAAAAUCAGGAGAAGAAUGAUUAGGAUGCAGAUUUUCGUCUGAGUUUGAAGGAAAUAUGAGCUUUAACACCCUUUUAUAAUAGUAGUCUCCGGCGCCUUAUCGCAGUACCUCGGCACCUCCACCUCUCCGCGCGGCUUCCUCCACUUCAACCACCCCAAGGCCACCAGAUCUGUGCUGCUCUCUUUCCCUACGCAAACAAAAAGACCGAGAACUGAGUUAACAUACUCGCAAUCGGAAGAGUGGAAUCGUAGAUUGAAGCUACCUUGAGUGACAGCAUCGCCGAUGAGGCUGUACCAAGGCAGACGGACGGCGGCGGCCGCGACUCUGCUGCUGUCGGUUGAAGAUUUGAAGGGGAGAACGAGCGGUGGCGGCGGCCGAAGGAUUCUGUGGGAGCCGUGAUUGGGGCUAGGGCUCAGACGGCGGAGGCUCUCACCGUCGCCGAUCUAAGUCAGAGGGGUAAAGGAGAUGAGGCGGUUAUGCCGCCGAGAGAGAGAAGGGAGAGCCUGGCGUGUCAGCGGCUUAUCGCCGUUGCUUUGCCGGGAAGGACGAGCGGCGGCACCCACGCCGCUGAUUUGAGUGCGGAUCUGGGUGUGUGCGUUGGGUGUGAGAAGAGCGGCGGCACCCACGCCGCGAUGGAGCUGCCGGGCUCCGACGAUGGCGCAAAGUGGCUGUGGCGGCGGGACCUAGGGCUGAGAGAGAGGGAUGAAAUUCUGAGAGAGAGAUAGUGAGAUGGGAGGGGGCGCAGGAGAGAUAAGGGGAAUAGGGUUGGAGUUGGGUUUGUGUUGGGUUUAAAUGUUUAAUAUGGGUAUAAAAUGUUAAUGAAGAGAAAAAAAUAAAAUAUUUUUAAUUUUGUUUUUUCAUAAUUUAUUUAUUUUUUAUGAUUUUUAUACCAUAUUAAAUAUUUUUUCAUUAACUUAAAUUUAAGAUGUAGUAUUAAGUAUUUUUUUAUGAAUUAAAUUUGAUGAUGUUCUUAAAAAAAAUUAAAGAAAAAAAUAGUAAAAAA
rnacentral:lncRNA from 1 species